GUCUCUUGCUCCAGCCAGAGCUCGAGGUUAGCUCUUCACUGCCCUGUGUCUUCUUUCCAAGGGUCUCGGUGAUUCGGCCACAGCCUCAGCCUCCAUCACGCGGUGAACUGAUGGUGCUGGAAGAUUCAUAGACUCCAGGACAUUCCUGAAGCCGAGAAAAGGUUAAGUAGGGUCUGGCCUGGAAUACUCUCCUAGAUGAAGAUAGCCCAACCAUGAGCCACCUUCGAAGCAGAUGAGAUGAAAUUAAAGCUCUUCAACUCCUAAAGGCCCAGAGACUAUCACAAAAGAGGUCAGAAAUCCUGAAGGUCACUUUCUGACAAACUCAGGAACCCCAGGUUUAUCUUGGAGCCUCAAGAGGAGAUAAAUUCACCCAACUCAGAGUUUUGCUCUUGGUGCCCAGGCUGGAGUGCAUUGGCACGAUCUCUGGCUCACUGUGACCUCUGCCUCCCAGAUUCAAGUGAUUCUCCUGCCUCAGCCUCCUGAGUAGCUGGGAUUACGGGCAUGUGCCCCCAUGCCUGGCUAAUUUUGAAUUUUUAGUAGAAACAGGGUUUCUCCAUGUUGGUCAGGCUGGUCUUGAACUGCCAACCUCAGGUGAUCUGCCCACUUUGGCCUCCCAAAGUGCUGGGAUUACAGGCAUGAGCCACCGAGCCUGGCCUGAUUGUACUUUUAUAUAAUAAAAUGCAGUACAUUUAUAAAUUUUAGAUUAUGUGUGAAGUUAAUAGUUUAAUUCAACAUUUUUAACAUGUUAAAUACUAUUGUGCAUUCAAUGAAGCGUUAUUAUGCCACAAACUUUAACCUCUUUCACCUUACUCAAGGGUAUAGGUAAAAGAUGGUAACAAUAUACUGUUUAGUAAGAUAAUAGAUUAACAUCUCUAGUGAUUUUUUUUUUUUGCCAGUGGCUUUCAACUGCAAAUAAGUUAAAGAAUAUUGUUUCUGUAGGUAAAUUUUUAUUCUGUUUUUAAUCAUUUAAAUUUAUUUUAAUUUUGGUGGCUGCAUGAGUAUCUAUGCAAUAUAUGGCAUGUUUUAAUACAGGAAUACAAUAUAUAAUAAUAAUAUCAGCAUUAAGUGAGGCAUCCUUCACCUGUAGCAUUUAUCCUAUGUUUUAUAAUCCAAUUCUACACUUUUUUUUAAAUUUAAAAUGUACAAUUAAAUUGUUAUUUACUACAGGGUUAUUUUUAUGGUCAUAAUAAAAAUUAUAUAUGAGUAUAAAUAAAAUUCAUUGUUAAAUUCUUAA
rnacentral:lncRNA from 1 species